UGUGUUAAUUUGAACUCAAGUCUCGGUUUAUGAUCUAACUAGAAAUUUUUGUCAUUGUAAAAUACAAAAUUGAGUAGAAAUUUCGAUUUUGAGAUGCUUAUGUGAGUUAUUAUGUGUAGCAUUGAUCAUAGACAUUAAGAAUUUUGGUGAAAAAGAAUUUGGAGGUUGAUAGGGUUAAUUCCUACUCAUAGUGAUAUUGGCUCAACAGUUCUAACCCAUUGAAUUUGAAGUAAAUUCUGUUGGAAGGAAAAUCAAUGUAGAUUUUCUGAUUAAAUUGCUAAAGGAAUACAAGAAUUACCCCUUUAAAUUAAACCUAGAUAUUUUUGGAUUCUAAGAAGAUUGUGGAGAUCACGUAGUGACCUUAAACUUGACUAAAGGAUUGGGGGUUAGUUAUGGUAAGUAUACUCUAUAUAAAUUGAGGACAAAAAGAUCUAGAGGUUUUGCUCUAGUUCUACUUGGAAAUUUGAAAUUUGGAGUUUUUUAGUCUUAAUGCAAAGUGAUACUUUAGUCAGAAAUCAUUUAUGACUUUAGAGAAUUAAAUGAAUUAAAUCAGAGUGUGCAGCGGAAGUCUGGUGGUUUGACUUAUUUUGAAACUGGUUAAGAUCAUUAAUAUUUAA
rnacentral:lncRNA from 1 species